GGUAAGAUGGCCUGAGUUCCAAGCCGGUGGGUUGUAGCCCCAUAGACAGAGGUUCGAGUCCUCUUCUUGCCA
rnacentral:tRNA from 1 species